rnacentral:rRNA from 1 species
GACGAACGCUGGCGGCGUGGAUUAGGCAUGCAAGUCGAACGGUAUCAUCCUUUCGGGGGUGAGAGAGUGGCGAACUGGUGAGUAACACGUAGGUUAUCUACCCUCAAGACGGGGACAACCCAGGGAAACUUGGGCUAAUACCGGAUGUGAGCAACUUUUAGUUGUUUGAAAGGUGGCGUAAGCUGUCGCUUGGGGAUGAGCCUGCGUCCUAUUAGUUAGUUGGUGAGGUAACGGCUCACCUAGGCAAUGAUAGGUAGGCGGCCUUAACGGGUGGUCGCCCACACUGGGAUUGAGAUACGGCCCAGACUCCUACGGGAGGCAGCAGUCGAGAAUAGUCUACAAUGGGGGGAACCCUGACCGAGCAACGCCGCGUGAACGAGGAAGGUCUUUGGAUCGCAGAGUUCUGUUGUAAGGGAAUAAAACGAUCAUAUAGGGAAUGAUAUGAUUUUGACGGUACUUACCAGAAAGCCACGGCUAACUACGUGCCAGCAGCCGCGGUAAAAAUCACGUGUA